rnacentral:misc_RNA from 1 species
AGAGCCACAAUAGGUACACAGAAAGAUUAACUCAGUUAUGAUAAUCGGGCCUGCUUAUGUGGAUUACAAUACUAGAUCCAUUUUUUCCACCCCAGACAAAAGUAGGCUUACACAAACAAGUCAAGAGCUCUAAAGAAACAUCAACAACAAAGGAGAAUAAUACAAUUCCAUGGUACAAAAUUUGGAACAACAGAGACUGCAAGUUACUAUUCUUAGGUUUUAUCAAAAAGGACACAACAUCAUACUCCUCUACGCAGUCUCUUGAAUAGUAUAUACUUUAUUUGUCACAAAAUUGUUGGGUUUGAAAAAUUAGUUUCAGUGUUCUAAUUGUGAAUUCAUAACAAUAUAAUGAGAACUUGAAAAGUUACCCUGAG